rnacentral:rRNA from 1 species
UACGGAGGGUGCAAGCGUUAUCCGGAUUUAUUGGGUUUAAAGGGUCCGUAGGCGGAUCUGUAAGUCAGUGGUGAAAUCUCACAGCUUAACUGUGAAACUGCCAUUGAUACUGCAGGUCUUGAGUGUUAUUGAAGUAGCUGGAAUAAGUAGUGUAGCGGUGAAAUGCAUAGAUAUUACUUAGAACACCAAUUGCGAAGGCAGGUUACUAAGCAACAACUGGCGCUGAUGGACGAAAGCGUGGGGAGCGAACAGG